rnacentral:rRNA from 1 species
GAUGAACGCUGGCGGCGUGCUUAACACAUGCAAGUCGAACGAAGCACUUUAUUACGAUUUCUUCGGAAUGACGAUUUAGUGACUGAGUGGCGGACGGGUGAGUAACGCGUGGGUAACCUGCCUUAUACAGGGGGAUAACAGUUAGAAAUGACUGCUAAUACCGCAUAAGCGCACAGGAUUGCAUGAUCUGGUGUGAAAAACUCCGGUGGUAUAAGAUGGACCCGCGUCUGAUUAGCUGGUUGGUGAGGUAACGGCCCACCAAGGCGACGAUCAGUAGCCGACCUGAGAGGGUGACCGGCCACAUUGGGACUGAGACACGGCCCAAACUCCUACGGGAGGCAGCAGUGGGGAAUAUUGCACAAUGGGGGAAACCCUGAUGCAGCGACGCCGCGUGAGCGAAGAAGUAUUCGGUAUGUAAAGCUCUAUCAGCAGGGAAGAAAAAAAUGAACGGUACCUGACUAAGAAGCCCCGGCGUAACUACGUGCCAGCAGCCGACGG